UUUCUGUAGGUGAACAUGCGGAGGGAUCAUUA
rnacentral:rRNA from 1 species